GUCCCGGGGUCGCGCGUUGCUCCGGGUGCCAGGUUCAGCCCGCGCGGCGACAGCGGGCUUCGGCCCGAUUUGAUGUCCCUUCUUGCACUCCAUGGGUAUAAAUUCCUGUCUUCACGUCGGGCAUGGUGGCUCACGCGUCAUCCCAGCACUUUGGGAGGCCGAGGCGGGCGGAUCACUUCAGGUCAAGAGUUCAAGACCAGCCUGGCCAACAUGGUGAAACCCCCGUCUCUGCUAAAAACACAAAAAUUAGCCAAGCGUGGUGGUGGGCGCCUGUAACCCCAGCUACUCGGGAGGCUGAGGCAGGAGAAUCGCCUGAACCCGGGAGGCAGUGGUUGCAGUGAGCUGAGAUCGUGCCACCACACUCCAGCCUGGGUGACAGAGAAGACCCUAUCUCAAAAAAUUAAAAUAAAUUAUUAUUUUCACCGAUUUCACGGUUUGCUCAAGGUGUCUGUUCUCAAAUGUUUGCUUGGGAGUUCAAUUUUAAACUGCCUACAAAUAUUAAAAGAUGUAUGACUGCUCAGGAGAAAAUGCUUUGCUAAUUUGUAUCUCCUGGGCCCUCAUUUUUAUUAGAUCAAGUUCAUUGGCUGUUGAUUCAACACACUUUGGUUAAGCUCUUAAUAUGCACUGAGCAUAGACAUGACCAAGUCUGAGGAUAGUCAGUAUACUGUGUAAGUCCCACAGCACAAUGCUGGGACUUGUCACAGUACAGAAAUAAGGGGCAGGUGCAAAAAAAGGAUCAAUAGCCUGGGGCCGGGUGCUGCGGCUCACACCUGUACCCCAGCACUUUGGGAGGCCAAGGUGGGAGGAUCGCUUGAGCCCAGAGUUUGAGGCCAGCCUGGGCAACAAAGCAAGACGCUGUCUCUAAUUAAAAAGAAAGGAAAAAAAAAUGGCCCGGGAUGAUCAAGAAAUGUGGAAAAAGUGUCUGUGAAGAGUGUCAAAAAAGGUUAAGUAGGAAAUGGUGAAUGAACAAUUAGAUUAUCACACAACCUAAAUUAAUAGCAUGUGGAUUGAGAUUACACUGUAGCUAGACUCUGGAACAAAUUAUUCUUUAGAAU
rnacentral:lncRNA from 1 species